rnacentral:rRNA from 1 species
CGUACACUCCUGCGGGAGGCAGCAGUGGGGAAUAUUGGACAAUGGGCGCAAGCCUGAUCCAGCCAUGCCGCGUGAGUGAUGAAGGCCCUAGGGUUGUAAAGCUCUUUCACCGGUGAAGAUAAUGACGGUAACCGGAGAAGAAGCCCCGGCUAACUUCGUGCCAGCAGCCGCGGUAAUACGAAGGGGGCUAGCGUUGUUCGGAUUUACUGGGCGUAAAGCGCACGUAGGCGGACUAUUAAGUCAGGGGUGAAAUCCCGGGGCUCAACCCCGGAACUGCCUUUGAUACUGGUAGUCUUGAGUUCGAGAGAGGUGAGUGGAAUUCCGAGUGUAGAGGUGAAAUUCGUAGAUAUUCGGAGGAACACCAGUGGCGAAGGCGGCUCACUGGCUCGAUACUGACGCUGAGGUGCGAAAGCGUGGGGAGCAAACAGGAUUAGAUACCCUAGUAGUCCCA